GCUGGGCAUGGUGGCGCGUGCCUGUAAUCCCCGCUACUCAGGAGGCUGAGGCAGAGAAAUCGCUUGAACCCGGGAGGUGGAGGUUGCGGUGAGCCAAGAUCUCGCCACUGCAACCUCCAGCCCGGGUGACAAGAGAGAGACUCCAUCUCAA
ensembl:misc_RNA Metazoa_SRP Metazoan signal recognition particle RNA